UUCCGGUUGAUCCUGCCGGACCCGACUGCUAUCGGAUUGAGAUUUAGCCAUGCGAGUCGAGCGUCCCCCUGUUGCGGGGGGCGUGGCGUACGGCUCAGUAACACGUAGUCAACCUGCCCUGGAGACAAGGACAACCCCGGGAAACUGGGAUUAAUCCUUGAUAGGUCAUCUCAUCUGGAAGGAGAGAUGGCUUAAAGGGGUACGCGGGCUUCUUCCGCGAAUCUGCUCCAGGAUGGGACUGCGUCCGAUCAGGCUGUUGGCGGGGUAAUGGCCCACCAAACCUGUAACCGGUACGGGCCUUGAGAGAGGUGGCCCGGAGAUGGACACUGAGAGAAGGGUCCAGGUCCUACGGGGCGCAGCAGGCGCGAAACCUUCGCAAUGCGCGAAAGCGUGACGAGGUUAAUCCGAGUGACUCCCGCUGAGGGGGUCUUUUGUCAGCUGUAAAUAGGCAGGCGAAUAAGGGGAGGGCAAGCCUGGUGUCAGCCGCCGCGGUAAUACCAGCUCCUCGAGUGGUCGGGGCGAUUAUUGGGCCUAAAGCAUCCGUAGCCGGUUCCGUAGGUCCUCUGUUAAAUCCAACCGCUUAACGGUUGACCUGCAGAGGAUACCGCGGGACUAGGAGGCGGGAGAGGCGGACGGUACUCCGCGUGUAGGGGUAAAAUCCUUUGAUCCGCGGAAGACCACCAGUGGCGAAGGCGGUCCGCCAGAACGCGCUCGACGGUGAGGGAUGAAAGCUGGGGGAGCGAACCGGAUUAGAUACCCGGGUAGUCCCAG
rnacentral:rRNA from 1 species